rnacentral:rRNA from 1 species
GACGAACGCUGGCGGCGUGCCUAAUACAUGCAAGUAGAACGCUGAAGAGAGGAGCUUGCUCUUCUUGGAUGAGUUGCGAACGGGUGAGUAGCGCGUAGGUAACCUGCCUUGUAGCGGGGGAUAACUAUUGGAAACGAUAGCUAAUACCGCAUAACAAUGGAUGACACAUGUCAUUUAUUUGAAAGGGGCAAUUGCUCCACUACAAGAUGGACCUGCGUUGUAUUAGCUAGUAGGUGAGGUAACGGCUCACCUAGGCGACGAUACAUAGCCGACCUGAGAGGGUGAGCGGCCACACUGGGGCUGAGACACGGCCCAGACUCCUACGGGAGGCAGCAGUAGGGAAUCUUCGGCAAUGGGGGCAACCCUGACCGAGCAACGCCGCGUGAGUGAAGAAGGUUUUCGGAUCGUAAAGCUCUGUUGUAAGUCAAGAACGAGUGUGAGAGUGGAAAGUUCACACUGUGACGGUAGCUUACCAGAAAGGGACGGCUAACUACGUG